GGAGCGGGGCGGGAACACGAGGCGCCCGACCAUGGCGGGAAGAUCACUUCUCCACAGCAAGCGCCUUCCGCACGGCCUCCUCAGCCUCUCUCCACACGAUGCUCCUCUCCAGAGCGCGUGUAACGCGCGUUACGAACAGCGACAGCCUGCAAGCAGCUGCCCAGCCUUUCCCCUCGGGGCUUCUGCAUGGGGAGCGGGCGGGGCGCCGAAGCAACGUGAGCCCGCGUGGCGGGCGGCCUGGCAGCGCGGCUCCCGCAGCGGCGCGGCGCCGGGAGGUCGGGGCGCGUGCUCCCCCCGGGCGGAGGGAGGGAACGCCGCAGGUGCAGCCGGGAGAAGCGGCGGACAAAGAGCGGCGGCACCUGCACUCACCAUCGGUGAAGAAGUGGUGUGCAGACCAAAGUGCAGAAAGAGGUUAAGAAAGCCAGAAAGGGAACUCAGUGGGACGUGAACUCUACAAGCCAGGUGAAUGCAGCGGUGACUGUGGCCUGAGCAGCUUGGAGCCCCUCCAAACAGCACAGUAAGUAGGUGGAUUUCGUCAGCUGGCCUUAUGCUGGCUUGAUCUUUUCCUGUUGUGCUCAGAAGUGUGGUAGGUCAACAUGGGAAGAGGGAAAGAGAGAGAAGAUUUAACCAGCACUGAUAGAUCUGUAAUUAUUUAAGCAUUCUGAGCCUGAAAUGGAAUCUAAGAAGCACACA
rnacentral:lncRNA from 1 species